rnacentral:rRNA from 1 species
UCGAGCGGACGGAUGGGAGCUUGCUCCCUGAUGUUAGCGGCGGACGGGUGAGUAACACGUGGGUAACCUGCCUGUAAGACUGGGAUAACUCCGGGAAACCGGGGCUAAUACCGGAUGGUUGUUUGAACCGCAUGGUUCAGACAUAAAAGGUGGCUUCGGCUACCACUUACAGAUGGACCCGCGGCGCAUUAUCUAGUUGGUGAGGUAACGGCUCACCAAGGCGACAAUGCGUAUCCGACCUGAGAGGGUGAUCGGCCACACUGGGACUGAGACACGGCCCACACUCCUACGGGAGGCAGCAGUAGGGAAUCUUCCGCAAUGGACAAAAGUCUGACAGAGCAACGCCCCGUGAGUGAUGAAAGUUUUCGGAUCGUAAAGCUCUGUUGUUAGGGAAAAACAAGUGCCGUUCAAAUAGGGCGGCACCUUGACGGUACCUAACCAGAAAGCCACGGCUAACUACGUGCCACCACCCGCGGUAAUACGUAUGUGGCAAGCGUUGUCCGGAAUUAUUGGGCGUAAAGGGCUCGCACGCGGUUUCUUAAGUCUGAUGUGAAAGCCCCCGGCUCAACCGGGGAGGGUCAUUGGAAACUGGGGAACUUGAGUGCACAAAAGGAGAGUGUAAUUCCACGUGUAUCGGUGAAAUGCGUAUAGAUGUGGAGGAACACCAGUGGCGAAAGCGACUCUCUGGUCUGUAACUGACACUGAGGAGCGAAAGCGUGUGGAGCGAACAGGAUUAUAUACCCUG